GCCAAAAACUGUGCGCUGGAGUAUGUGUGCGAGUGAAAUGGCAUAUAUGGCCGUUAUAAAUCGCCGGUCGUGCAAUGCAAAUGAGUGAGUGAGAGCAGGCGAUGACUCAACAAUCUCAAGUCUCCUUGCCUGAUUCUACGACCGGUCGAGUAACCGACGACGAGGAUGGUCAAUCAUAAAUUAAAAAUAGAUUUUAAAAUUUUAAUAUGUACAUACACAUGUAUAUGUACGAACACAUUAUAUAUUUAUCUUUAUCUGCCGUAAA